rnacentral:rRNA from 1 species
GACGAACGCUGGCGGCGUGCUUAACACAUGCAAGUCGAACGGUGAGGGGACCGGUUUUUGCUGGUUCUGGAUGAGUGGCGAACGGGUGAGUAACACGUGAGUAACCUGCCCCCUUCUUCUGGAUAACCGCAUGAAAGUGUGGCUAAUACGGGAUAUUCUGCGCCUGCUGCAUGGUGGGUGUGGGAAAGAUAUUGUUUCGGUGGGGGAUGGGCUCGCGGCCUAUCAGCUUGUUGGUGGGGUGAUGGCCUACCAAGGCGGUGACGGGUAGCCGGCCUGAGAGGGUGGACGGUCACACUGGGACUGAGACACGGCCCAGACUCCUACGGGAGGCAGCAGUGGGGAAUAUUGCACAAUGGGCGCAAGCCUGAUGCAGCGACGCCGCGUGAGGGAUGGAGGCCUUCGGGUUGUAAACCUCUUUCGCCAGUGAAGCAGGCCUGUCCCUUUUGUGGGUGGGUUGACGGUAGCUGGAGAAGAAGCGCCGGCUAACUACGUG